CAGGUAGGUGUCUUAAAAAGUAGAGGGUGAAAUCCUUCGGCUAAACCGAAGAACUGCCUUCUAAACUUUUAGGAUUGAGUAUGAGAGAGGAAAGCGGAACUCUCGGUGUAAGGGUGAAAUCUGUAGAGAUCGAGAGGAACACCAGUAGCGAAGGCGGCUUUCUGGACCAUUACUGACACUGAGCUGCGAAAGCUAGGGUAGCAAACA
rnacentral:rRNA from 1 species